rnacentral:rRNA from 1 species
UACGGAGGAUGCGAGCGUUAUCCGGAUUUAUUGGGUUUAAAGGGUGCGUAGGCGGUCCGUUAAGUCAGCGGUAAAAUUGCGGGGCUCAACCCCGUCGAGCCGUUGAAACUGUCAGACUUGGGUUGGCGAGAAGUACGCGGAAUGCGCGGUGUAGCGGUGAAAUGCAUAGAUAUCGCGCAGAACUCCGAUUGCGAAGGCAGCGUACCGGCGCCACACUGACGCUGAGGCACGAAAGCGUGGGGAUCGAACAGG